AACAGUAGUUAGAUGGGCGGACGUAAGUCCAAAGCAACAUAAAUUUUGCAACCGGUUGCUAAUUGCAUUGGGUUUACGUCUAUUUUAACCUUUAUGGUUAAUCUGGUGAAUGGUUUGAGGAGUAGCUCACAGUUGCUACAAUCCCUCAAACAAGACUGUUUGUAUCCUUCUCGCUGGAUACCGCCCGUUAAAUACAUUGUCCUACCGUAUAGGAAAAUGUAUAACUAAAACAAACAGUCGUUCUUCUAUUUUUGACAGCCAUUUUUACAGAUAUAACUCAAUCAUUACCCAUGGUUAUGAAGAGCAAUGCCAGAAAUAACAAAUUUAUAAUACAAAUCGCUGCGUCACAAUUAAAAGAACUGCAGCCUCCAGUGUAUUGCGAAGCCGCAACACGACUAAUGCCGGCCGCCACAUAGAGUACAUGGACAGCUCGCUCGCUCCCCGCAACAGAGGGAUCACAACAACGACGUCUGCCAUCCCCGACACCAACACAAUAAUACAAAUCGCUGCGUCAUAAUUAGAAGAACUGCGGCCUCCAGCGUAUCGCGAAGCCGCAACACGACUAAUGCCGGCCGCCACAUAGAGUACAUGGACAGCUCGCUCGCUCCCCGCAGCAGAAGGACCACAACAACGACGUCUGCCAUCCCCGACACCAUGGACAAUGAAAAAUACAAAUCGCUACGUCACAAUUAGAAGAACUGCAGUCUCCAGCGUCUCGCGAAGCCGCAACACGACUAAUGCCGGCCGCCACAUAGAGUACAUGGACAGCUCGCUCGCUCCCCGCAGCAGAGGAACCACAACAACGACAUCUGUCGUCCCUGACACCAUGGACAAUGAAAAACACAAAUCACUUGCAAAUACGACAUCGCUACGAUUUUGAAGUCAUGACGUUUUCUACACCCUAAACCUUCAUCUUCAACUCAACCAAAAUGUUACAACUCAAUUGCAACUACAAAGCAUCGGAGCCUGGAACAACAACUGGACAACGCGCGCAGCUCCGCGGCCGAGACUGCGGGACUGUACUGAGACCAUGCAAACAACGUCCGCCGCCGCUAAACGCUAUAAACAAUACACAUUUGACCGACCCAAAAUCGUAUGGGAGCAUUUGUAGCAACGUUGAGCCUUCAUCCCGCCUAAAAUUACCUGAAAACUGUGCAGAAAGCUCCAGACCUGCAUUUUAUUAACUAAUAAUUGUUGUGUAUAAUAUAUACACUAUCUUUUUAUUCUAUUUAAUAAAAUCGUAUUAAAAAUGAAAA
rnacentral:lncRNA from 1 species